GAUUUAUUUAUAUUUUUUCAGUUUAAACAACUUAUAAAUAAGUUUGAUCCAGAUGAUGCAUAUCUGCUCUUGAUAAAGAAAAAAAAUAAACAUGAUCAAGCUGGUGAGAGUAGUAUAGGAGCAAGAGCGGGCAGUGCGACAACGCCACAUGUAAAUAGUGUUAAUCAUACGAUGGUUUCAAGACCAUCCCAAAGCAAGAGAAUCGUUGGAUAGUAGCAGUGGAAAAAUUGCACCCAGCAUAGGCUUUGGAACGCCAACAUUACAGAACAAAUGAAUCAGAAACAACUAUUGGAAAAUUGACCCAAUGAAUAAUAAUAAUAAUAAUUAGUUUUUAACAAGUCUUGUUAUUUAAUUAAACAA